CUCAUUGUGUCUACCAAUGGCAAUUAGUUCUAGUCAAAAUUCAACUCACCUGAACAUUUUCAUCAUUUCUUGUUGUAGGAGAUUCAACCUGUUAUAAUGUCACUGCUACCACUUAAAGAGGCUGUGAGGGCCAGCAUUGUUUCAAAAGGUUGGAGAAUGCUCUGGAGAUUCCAUAGUAACCUAUGUUUUGACAGCCGCAAUGAUAUGGAUUCUGACACAGAUGAUGAGUUUACUCAUCGGGAUAGUACCAAAAUAAAACAAGCAAAGUUCAUUGAGACUGUAAAUUGUGUUAUUCAACAUCAUAGUGGGCUAGGAAUCAAUAAGUUCAGCAUUAGGUGUGGCCUGCACAAAGAGGACUCUGAACAUCUUAACAGAUGGGUUAGCUUUGCUGCUUCAUCAAAGGCAAAGAUAAUAGAUUUUAAUCUGAAGAUAAUUGAUUGCCCGUUCGACAUAGUUCAUCACUUUCCUCUUGAGGUCUUAGAUGCUCAAGGUAGCUCAUUUGUGCAGUCAUUGUUUCUUGUUGAAGUUGCUAUAAGCCCACACUCGGGCAUACGUGGCUUCAUAGUACUCAGAAGACUUGUUCUAAAAUAUGUUGAGAUAUUUGGAGACUUCCCAGGCUUUUUAGCAAAUUUGCUAGCACUCGAGGACCUAGAGAUGAUCAAGUGCUCCGGUGUAACAACUUUGAGCAUACCACGCCAAGUUGAUAAGCUCAAGCAUUUGCUAGUUGAUAUAAUGGAUGUUGAGAUGGUUGAGUUUCAUGCUGGUGAUCUAACUCAUUUUGAGUACCAAGGGCCAGUGAUCCCUAUAGUGCAUCAUGGUUGCUCAAAAUUAGAGAAGGCAACAAUAAUGUUUGAAGGUAGUAAAGGACUGAGCCAUGUGUUCAAUGAUGUUCCAAUCAUUUUGGGAGUGAAUACACUAAGUGUGCAAGCUCAUGUACUUGCAUAUGAACAGGUUACCUGGUGUCUAUUUAUCUAUUCUGGUUUGCUUACCUCAUUGUUCUUGAAACUGUGUUCUAAUAUUAUCGUAUUUCCCUAUCAUGUUUCAGUUGGAGAAGGUGGCACCAAGACCACAUGGCAUGUUUAUGCAUUCGCGGCACAUGACUUGCGGAUUAACUAUCAUCUCUAGCGUACCAAAGGCUGACAAUGGAGUUCUUCAGCUUGCUUGUUGUCUAAAUCUCACACCACAACUGGAGACGUUGCACUUGGAUAUGACGUAUUCACACUGUAAUGUUUCGGUGCCUGAUGAUUUCGUGGAGGAGGAAGGUCCCCACAUGCAUCGCCAUGAUCAUCUCAGGA
rnacentral:rRNA from 1 species